UGCCUCAGCCUCCCGUGCUGGGAUUACCAUGCCCAGCUCAAUUUUAAAAAGAAAUUCCCGAAGGCGUUAUGAGAUGAGCCAAUCCUAGAAAGACAAAUACUGUGUGAUUUCAGCUCUGUGAAGUCCGCAGAGACAGGCAAUAGGAUGGUGGCUGCCAGGCCUCGGCAGGGGGGGAGAGGACUGAUCUUCCUGGUGCAGUUUCUGUUUAGGAAGAUGAACAUGUUUCACAAAUGGGCAGUGGCAAUCGUUGCACAAAAAUAUCUCGGGAGGCUGAGGCAGGAGGAUUGCAGUGAACUUGAGGCCAGCCUGGGCUACACAGUGAGUCCAAGGCAGUGAGACUUUAAACUACACAGUGAAGUUUUGUCUCAAAAAGAAAAAAAGGAAAAAAAAAAAAGAAAUGAGGGACUUAGGCCACUUGGGAAUGGGCAGGGAGCCCCCCUUGGCCGCCUGGCCCGUCCGGGGGUGCUGCUGGAGCCAUGAGGAGGGCCGGCCUACCUCAGGGUGACAGGAACAUGAGCCAUCUCUCCUGUCCCUGUAAUUUUGCCUUUUAUAUUUUUUCACAUAUUCCUGCCGCUGACGGAUGGCUUUUAUGGUGGAGGAAACAUGCUUCGAAUUCCCCGUGCUGUAAAGACCCCGCGCGCCACGCGUCCCCUGCGGGGGACCUGGAAUCAGCCCAGAGUGACAGCGCUGUGCUGCUUCCCACGGCGCAGUAAAACACGGCCGCCUUUGAAAUGAUUAAGCGAACGACAUCACAGUCCUGUCACGCAGCUGCCAGCGCGUCACUGCACCUAAUUAAAGGUCAGGCACCGGAGCUCGGACCUGCGUGCUCCUUAGUCACGGAAGGGCCUGCUCUGUGCUGCAGAAACACGGCCCCGCAGAGCCGCAUCCUCCCGUCCUGCACGGCUCUUCACCCCCACCUCCAGCUCCUGAGCAGCCCUCGAAGGAACAGGAAGUGGCCAUUCCCUCACCAGCAGGAGAACGUGCGGGUUCAGAGAGGACCUGAGGGCUGAGCAACCACUUCCCUCCUGCAGCCUCCGUCUUCCCAUCCAAAAAGUGGGAGCGCUGGGCAAGGUCACUAACCAUGACAGCCAGUUCUGCUGUGCACCAACCAUGUCUUCUUCCCCUUGGUGGCUGGCCUAGAACUCCCUAUGGAGCCCAGGCUGGCCUCGAAGUCAUGGUAAUCCUCCUGCCUCAGCCUCCCAAGUGCCGGCAUGACAGGCCUGUGCCACCACACCAGCUCCCCUUCGCACCCCCUUGCCCAGCCUCAGACGCUCUUGCUCAUCAGCCCUGCCCACCGCGUGUGCCAGCCUGGGCCCCUGGGCUCCAUAGGGAGCGACUCUGCCAGCCCAGGUGGCAUCUAAUGCAUGGGAAACGCCAGCCGCAAGCCCAGCUCCACUGCCAAACGCCACGGCCUGAAUCUCAGAAGCUCGAGUGGGACCUCCCAGCGUGGGCUGCUUCCUUCCCAGCAAGUGGAGGAAAGGUUCACCCAGUCAGGUCAGGGGGGCCUCGGCUGACCCUGGAGCAGGGACUCUGAGCACAGGAAGGACUGAAGGACUGUUGCUUGGGCGACUUAGUGUGAAGACAGCCCUCCUUGGUGCGGCCGGGUCCCCAGGGAGCCUGUCACUGAGCCGCCGAGACACAAAAGGCGGCUGAGGCCAACGGCUUGGGGAGCUGCCUGGGACAGGGGUGCCGGGUUGGUGGAGGGUGCGGGCACACACAGGGAACAGACACCAGGCGGGCGUCUUGCACCUCAGGAACGCCUCGCUGGCUUCCCGGGCCAGGUGGUGGGUGUGACCUGCAUCCCCUCCUCACGGAGCAGCCAGGUGACCCACCACACACAGCCCCUGUCCAGAGGGCCCUUCCAGGAGAAGCGAAGGGACCUGGGGGAGGGAGAGCAGCUGAGGCCCAGCUGGGAUGCCACAGUGGCGCAGGAGAAGAUGCAUCAGACACACACAGGGCCGGGAUACAGCUCAGCGGCAUAAGCACCUGCCUGGCAAUGCAAGGUCCUGAGUUCCGUUCCCGGUACCAAAAAACAAACAAACCAACCAAAAAAACCAGACACAUAGCUGAUCACUCCACUGGGCCGGGCCCAGCCCUGGAAGGUGCCCCGGAAGACAAAUCUCAGGAGGCACCCACUGGUUUGGGGCACCCCUCCCCCUGGAAACAGCCAGCUGAGAAAUGCCAGGCAUGAGCCAGGUGUGAUGGUGCACUCCUGUCUUCCAGAACUCGGGAGGCUGAGGCAGGGGGAUCACAGUGAGUUGAAGGCCAGCCUGGGCUACCUGGUGAGACCUUGUCUCAAACAACAACAAAAGCUUCAGCCGCUGGUUUACCUGUUGGCUAGGGGGCGUGGAUGUGUGCGCCUAGUGCCCACGCCAGCGCCGCACCUGCGUGUUGUCUCCGAGUGGGUAGGACAGCCCCCGCGGCUGUGCCAGCAGGGCCUGCGUUCCCGCACCCAGCGGGCUCCUUCCUUCCCCUGGGCAGGGCUCUGGUGACCAGAAGGUGGCAGCUACACCCCCUCUCCUGUCACCUGGGGUCUCUACAGCCUGAUCCCAAACACAAAAGCCACAUGCUCCGGGGGCACCAAAGCUCCUGGUUCCAGCCCCUCCUCCAGGACAGCACUGCCCGCCUGGCCUGGUCCCCUGCCCAGGAGGGGCAAGGAACCACAAUCCACCGGACCAAGGAGCCCCGCUGGGGACGGCAGGACACCCAGGGCGAGGGGAUGGGAGAGGACCAUUCCUUCUCGAUGCUGUGACAACAGCGUGGAGCCCGAAAAGGAUCUCAAUCUAAACGGAUCUAAAAUCCAGCAGUGUGCAUUCCUGCUGAGCUCUGAAGGGGACUCUUCUUGCUUCGGCCUCCUUGGCCACAGCCUCAGUUCUCCCGGACACUCACCACCUUCUUCUCCAUCUCCUCCUUUUUUGUUUGAAAGGCAGGGUAACCCUAGAUAGCUCAGGCUGGCCUGGAACGGAAAUCCUCCUGCCUCAGCCACAGGCUUGCCAGGAUUACAGUUGUACACCACUGCGUCCAGCUUCCCUGCUUCCUUUUUCUGAGGAGGACACUUGGGAUUGUGCCGGACUUUGUGGACGGUGCGGGUGAAUCUUCCGCCUCAGGGCCUUCACCUAAUGGCUUCUCUGAAGUCUCUUCUGCCAGCCGAGGUGACAUCUGCAGUAUGGGGACCAGACCGAGGACAGUUUGGGGGCCAUGAGCCCGCCUGUCACAGCCAGGGAGCAGCUGCCUCUGCCUGGCCUGCCGGGUGACUCUGUUUACAUGCAUCCUUCAAGGCAGGACAGGUGCUUCACAGAGAGUCCGCUGGCAUAAAGAGGAGGAGAGACCUAGAAGGAAGGAGAACAGCUUUGCAUAGAGCACAAAGACAGGCGAGCUUGGCUAGUCUCUGCCCUUCGAUUCAGUGUUGCUUUUCUUUUUCAGAAAGGCUUGGUUGCUCCUGGUGAUGAGAGGCUCACUACCUUCCAAGAGGCGGCCUCCUCUGUCCCUUCCCAUUGAAGAAAAGCCCUGAUGUUCUCAUCAUCGCUGGAAAAUUAACAGCCCCGGAGCCUAGGAGUAACGACAGAGGGGACUGGACAGGAGGCAGGGUCAUGAGGAGAUCUCUGAGGCACAUCCUAGGAUAGACUGUUCUUCUUGGUGUCUCUGGGUGGGUCUCCAGGGCAGGACCUGAGGCGAGGAACGCCAUUCCCAGCGCUGGGGGUCAGCAGAACUCCACCAAGGCCAGCUCUACUCCCAGCCUGCAAAUCAGCUGGGAAAGAUGUGAACUGAGAGCAGGAUGUGGUAGCUUGUGUCUGUAACCCCAGCACUCAGGAGGCUGAGGCAGGCGGAUCACUGCAAGGUCUCGGCCAGCCUGGCCUACAAAGUGAAACCGUGUUUCAAAAGAAAACAACAACAACAAAAGAAAAAAAUAAAAAGAAUGCCAACUGAGGGGGGCGCAAAAUAGAAAUAGGAACCUGUUUGUUUUCUCUCCUGGCAUCACUGGAAACCUAAGUUCCUCCAGGCUUGGAGCCGAGCAGAAGGCUCUGGGCUGAGGCUGGGGGCCCCGGCAGGUGGAGUCUGUGGAGGGAGGAGGGGAUGGGGACAGCCACCUCAGAGGCCCUGCGUGCCUGUCUUCCUGAGCUCACUGAUGUCUGCAUGCCUGGCCCCCCUCAUACCCUAAAGCACUGUCCUGGUCAGCCCUGGGCUGUGAAGGGGGCAGCCCAGACACGGCUUAGGUCUCAAAUGCCCCCAGGCGUGGGGCGUUUGGAAGGGGCAGUACUCACCAGGGGCUCUGCCCGUGGAGAAGUGUGUGGCUGAAGGUGCCGGAGGUGCUGGGUCACUGGGACGGCUCUGGAGGGUGCUUCCCUCUCGCUGGCUCUUCCUGCUCUCUCUCUGCUUCUUGCCCACCAGCAGGUGAGCAGCAGGCCUCUGCUAGGCCCUUUUAGCCAGGCCAUUUUUGCCCUGCAGCAGGGAACCAUGGGCCGAACCCUCUGAAGCCAUGAGCCCAAUAAACCUUUCCUCCUUUCAGCUGUA